rnacentral:misc_RNA from 1 species
GCAGGAACAAUUCGUUAGUGGCGGUCGGUGAAAACCAAUCUAAAAGUUUAGACUCGCCAAUGAGGAUUUCUUAAUACUCGUAUACGUUUUUUUACCUCCCGUUGGCAAAAUGACGACAUUACGAAGCAUCAGAUUAUUUGUGAUUCGACAUCGUUCGCUCUUGCUAUCCACAGUGUCAAUUGGUUUAAUUUUAAUAAUUGCAUGGCCAUCGACGGACAGUCGACAUAAUUCCAAACAGACGAAGAAAAAGGUUCUUUAUAAUUUGAUGGAAGAAACAAAGGGUAUGCCAAAACACGUCAAAGAUUGCACUAUCGAAUACGCAAACGCGCAUAAACUUCAGCAAGAUCAUCCUUGUCUACUCGAUAUUAUUCGUCGCCAGCAUCUUAACAAACCGUCACCAUCGGAUGUGCCUCUGUUUUUGGAUUACCCCAAUGUGAAAGAUCCAUCUGCAGGUCAAGUGACGGCAGUUCUACGAUUACUAAGAAAUCUGACAAACGGGUUCUUUAUUGAGAGUGGUGCCGCCGAUGGCGAAUCUUUCUCCAAUACUCUAUUUUUGGAACGAGAAAUGAACUGGACUGGACUGCUUGUCGAACCCGAACCAAAAUCGUUCCAAAAUUUGGUCAAACGAAAUCGCAAAUCUUGGACACUUCAAAAUUGUCUAAGUCUCGAAAAAUACCCAACUGAAGUCUCAUUCGAUAAAACUGAGAUCACCGGGAAAAUCAUUGGCAGUAAAGUGUCACAGUCUGAACUGGAUAACGGAAAAUUGGCAAAUGUCCAAUGUUUUCCACUGUACUCUAUACUGCUGGCCCACGGACAAAAUUGGGUGGAUUUUUUCAGCCUCGAUGUGGAAGGACAUGAACUCCAAGUGCUCAAAACUAUUCCGUGGCACAAAGUCAAUAUCACCUUGAUAGCCGUUGAAUGGGAACACGUUGAGGAAGGUUACUACGCAAUCGUCGAUUACAUGAAGGAACAAGGCUAUGUUAAUUUUGGGAGAAUCGCUACUCCCUAUGCAAGAGAUGUAGUAUUCAUCAAAGAUUUUCUCGAUGACUUGAGAUUUGACUACGUUGACUACGAUGAUGAAUAGGCCUUAGGCCUAUAAAAAUCAGCAAAUAAAAAAAGACAUGCUAAUUAGGUUUCUGAAAAUAUUGACCUUCUGACCACAAAUUGCGGAUCAAUACAUCUGAAUCAACUAUUAUAUCUGCUGAUGAUGUAGAAUGUUUUUAUUUUUUACUUUUCACCAGUGAUAAUAUUUUACCAUACCGAGACAUUAUUUAGCUACUUUAUUUAUUGGUUACCACAAAAAAAGGCUUCGUAUGGAACAGAAUCCUUUUGGGGAAAUUUAAUUAAUAAUUUGAAUAAUAUCCCUGCGAUAAACAUUUCUCAUUAGGUUCAACAAAUAACUUUUAUUUCCAUUACAUGCAGAUGUGUCGUAUCAAAUUUGUGUUGUUCCUCUCAAUAUUCAGCUAGAACAAAUCAACUAUGUGUUAAAAUACAUUAUAUUAAAACAAAAAAUACAUAAACUGAAUUAAAGCACAAACGCUGUAGCAGCCUGCCCAACCCUUCACCCUAUAGUUCCCUUAUCUCCCUUAUUCCCCUUCUGUCCUACAUUACCUGGAACUCCAGUACUGCCUGUUGAACCAACGUCGCCUUUCGAUCCCUUUGGACCAACGUCACCUUUCGAUC